GCCAGGGUGGCGGAAACCGGUAACGCGCCAGAAUUUUAGGCGAAACUCGAGAUCUGGUUGCCGCAAGGCAAUUUGGGUUCAAAUCCCAACCCUGGCG
rnacentral:tRNA from 1 species